GACGAACGCUGGCGGCGUGCUUAACACAUGCAAGUCGAACGGAAAGGCCCUGCUUGCAGGGUACUCGAGUGGCGAACGGGAGAGUAACACGUGGGUGAUCUGCCCUGCACUUCGGGAUAAGCCUGGGAAACUGGGUCUAAUACCGGAUAGGAGCCAUUUUUAGUGUGAUGGUUGGAAAGUUUUUUCGGUGUAGGCUGAGCUCGCGGCCUAUCAGCUUGUUGGUGGGGUAAUGGCCUACCAAGGCGGCGACGGGUAGCCGGCCUGAGAGGGUGGACGGCCACAGUGGGACUGAGAGACGGCACAGACUGCUACGGGAGGCAGCAGGGGGGAAUAUUGCACAAGGGGCGCAAGCCUGAUGCAGCGACGCCGCGUGGGGGAUGACGGUCUUCGGGUUGUAAACUCCUUUCGCUAGGGACGAAGCUUUUUGUGACGGUACCUAGAUAAGAAGCACCGGCUAACUACGUG
rnacentral:rRNA from 1 species